rnacentral:rRNA from 1 species
CACACCGCCCGUCACAUCACGAAAGCCAGUUGUACUAGAAGCUGGUGACUUAACCGCAAGGAAAUAGCCGUCCAAGGUAUGACUGGUGAUUGGGGUG